ACAGAAGUCACAAGUGUUGUUCGGAUUAACUGGGCGUAAAGGGUGAGUAGGAGGUAUGACAAGUCUAACGUGAAAUGCUGGAGCUCAACUCCGGAACUGCGUAGGAAACUGUCAUGCUAGAGGGUUGGAGGGGGGACUGGAAUUCUCGGUGUAGCAGUGAAAUGCGUAGAUAUCGAGAGGAACACCCGUGGCGAAGGCGAGUCCCUAGACAACUCCUCACGCUGAGGCUCGAAAGCUAGGGGAGCAAACAG
rnacentral:rRNA from 1 species